rnacentral:lncRNA from 1 species
AGGGCCGGAAGCCCGGCUCCCGACUCCGCUUCGUCCCCACAACCUCCGGCCGCCUGAAGUCCUGAGGGGCCGUGGCCCUGGGUCGUCUCCCCUGUUCCCAGCCUCCAGUCGCAGCUGGCGGAGAGAAGUUCCCGAGGCCCCCCCGACUUGCAAGGUCCCUUGCCCCGCCCAGAGCUGAGCCUUCCGAGGAUCUGAGGACCGAGUCCAGCCCAGCUCCCAGGAGGGGCCGGGAUCCUGGGGCAGGGAAUAAGGGGCAGGGGCUGGCUCUAAAGUCGGGCGGGAGAGGGGCACUAACCGAGAUGGGGGCUGAGCCUCCGGUCUGGGAGCUUCGGGAGGCGCGUGGCGGGAUGGAAAACAUUCCUGAGACCGUUGGAUUGGAUUUCCGAAUUUGGGAGGCUAGGACUCCGGCUACGGUGGCUCUGCUCUUGGGAUGAGAGGACUGGGCCCAGCUUGCGAGGAAUCAUGAAGUGGACACAGGGAGGCCGACCCAAGUCUCCCUGCUGUCAUUUCAGGAGGCCGAAUUUUUUCCCAAUCCCAGAGAAGGUGUCAGAGGCCUGGUUAGCAGUCUUGUCGAUGGUUUCCUGGGUGGUCUUGGCCAGCUGGUCCAUGGCUGGGGAAGGGCGGGAGAGAGGGCAGGUCAGGCAGGGCCCGGGAACCACAGUGCCUGUAGGCUUAGCCUGGCCUGGGUCUCCCGGGGGACCUGCUUGGGGCAUUGUGGACAGAGGGCUCUGCAGAGGAGAGGAUGUGCCUGGGCCCCAGCCGGGAUGGGGCGGGGAGUGGGAGGUGUGCUGGGGUUGCCCGCCUCCCUCCAGCCCCACCAGACCUUUCUGCCCCGCCUCUGUGGCCUGG